GCCGGUUUAGCUCAGCUGGUAGAGCAACCGCCUUGUAAGCGGUAGGUCGAGGGUUCAAGUCCUUCAACCGGCA
rnacentral:tRNA from 2 species